AAGUCACAGACUAACAGCAUCUCAAAGCAGAACAAUUUUUCUUAGUACAGAUCAAAAUGGAGUUUCUUUAUGUCUUCCUUUUUCUACAUAGACACAGUAGCGAUCUGAUCUCUCUUUUCCCCACAGUUACUAGCUAAAAUUAACUCCAUCACUAUUUCUGACAAUACUCUCAGUUUAAAGGUUAUAGUGAUGUUUCCUCUUUAGACACUGUACACCAUUGAUUUAACCUAAUAGGUAAAUUGGUCAUCUCACAGCUUCUUGAACUGGUUUGCCUUUAUUUCAAGGGGCUUUAAGAAAAGUGAGUCCUUUAUGAUGGAGGGCAGUGUGAUUUGACUUUGACCUUGGUAACACCUUGUGUUCUGCAGUAAAGCCCAAUCUGCAGGUGUUGCGAGCCCGAUUCUCUGAGAUCACACCCCAUGCCGUCAGGACAGCUUGUGAAAACCUGACCGAGCCUGAUCAGAGGGUGAGCGAUGCUGUGGAUGUGAGGCAGGAGCUGGACCUGAGGAUUGGAGCUGCCUUUACUAGGUUCCAGACCCUGCGGCUUCAGAGGAUUUUUCCUGAGGUGCUGGCAGAGCAGCUCAUCAGUUACGGCAGCUGCCAGUUCCCCACACUGGGCUUUGUGGUGGAGCGGUUCAAAGCCAUUCAGGCUUUUGUACCAGAAAUCUUCCACAGAAUUAAAGUAACUCAUAACCACAAAGAUGGUAUCGUAGAAUUCAACUGGAAAAGGCAUCGACUCUUUAACCACACUGCUUGCCUAGUUCUCUAUCAGUUGUGUAUGGAGGAUCCCAUGGCAACUGUGGUAGAGGUCAGAUCUAAGCCCAAGAGCAAGUGGCGGCCUCAAGCUUUGGACACUGUGGAGCUUGAGAAGCUGGCUUCUCGAAAGUUGAGAAUAAAUGCUAAAGAAACCAUGAGGAUUGCUGAGAAGCUCUACACUCAAGGGUACAUCAGCUAUCCCCGAACAGAAACAAACAUUUUUCCCAGAGACUUAAACCUGACGGUGUUGGUGGAACAGCAGACCCCCGAUCCACGCUGGGGGGCCUUUGCCCAGAGCAUUCUAGAGCGGGGUGGUCCCACCCCACGCAAUGGGAACAAGUCUGACCAAGCUCACCCUCCCAUUCACCCCACCAAAUACACCAACAGCUUACAGGGAGAUGAACAGCGACUGUACGAGUUUAUUGUUCGCCAUUUCCUGGCUUGUUGCUCCCAGGAUGCUCAGGGGCAGGAGACCACAGUGGAGAUCGACAUCGCUCAGGAACGCUUUGUGGCCCACGGCCUCAUGAUUCUGGCCCGAAACUAUCUGGAUGUGUAUCCAUAUGAUCACUGGAGUGACAAGAUCCUCCCUGUCUAUGAGCAAGGAUCCCGCUUUCAGCCCAGCACCGUGGAGAUGGUGGACGGGGAGACCAGCCCACCCAAGCUGCUCACCGAGGCCGACCUCAUUGCCCUCAUGGAGAAGCAUGGCAUUG
rnacentral:sRNA from 1 species